rnacentral:rRNA from 1 species
CNNCNGCAGCUAUACAUGGAAGUCGAGCGAGGCUCCAACGGAAGGCUUCUGGCAGGAAGCUAAAGGCGCGAGCGGCGGAUGGGUGAGUAACGCGUGGGCAACCUGCCCUUUAGCUUGGGAUACCACUUGUAAACAGGUGCUAAUACCAAAUAAGAAGCAAGAGCGCAUGCUCAAGCUAUGAAAGGCGGCUUUCGAGCUGUCACUAAAGGAUGGGCCCGCGGUGCAUUAGCUAGUUGGUAAGGUAACGGCUUACCAAGGCAAUGAUGCAUAGCCGAGUUGAGAGACUGAUCGGCCACAUUGGGACUGAGACACGGACCAAACUCCUACGGGAGGCAGCAGUAGGGAAUCUUCCACAAUGGACGCAAGUCUGAUGGAGCAACGCCGCGUGAGUGAAGAAGGUUUUCGGAUCGUAAAGCUCUGUUGUUGGUGAAGAAGGAUGUGAAUAGUAACUGAUUCAUAUUUGACGGUAAUCAACCAGAAAGUCACGGCUAACUACGUGCCAGCAGCCGCGGUAAUACGUAGGUGGCAAGCGUUGUCCGGAUUUAUUGGGCGUAAAGCGAACGCAGGCGGGAGAACAAGUCAGCUGUGAAAGCCCUCGGCUUAACCGGGGAAGUGCAGCUGAAACUGUUUUUCUUGAGUGCAGAAGAGGAGAGUGGAACUCCAUGUGUAGCGGUGGAAUGCGUAGAUAUAUGGAAGAACACCAGUGGCCAAGGCGGCUCUCUGGUCUGUAACUGACGCUGAGGUUCGAAAGCAUGGGUAGCGAACAGGAUUAGAUACCCUGGUAGUCCAUGCCGUAAACGAUGAGUGCUAAGUGUUGGGAGGUUUCCGCCUCUCAGUGCUGCAGCUAACGCAUUAAGCACUCCGCCUGGCGAGUACGACCGCCAGGUUAAAACUCAAAGGAAUUGACGGGGGCCCGCACAAGCGGUGGAAGCAUGUGGGCUUAAUUCGUAAGCACCACGAAGAACCUUACACAGGUCUUGACAUCUAGAUGCCAGUCUCUAGAGCAUAGGAUGAUUCCCCUUCGGCGCACACGUGAGGAACCAGAGUGGAUGCAGUGGGGCCUGGAUUAGGUCAAGCUCUCGUUGGUCCUUCGAGAAAUCGCUUGAGGAGAUUAUAAAGUUACC